GCCCACGUAGCUCAGGGGAAAGAGCACUUGCCUCCGGAGCAAGGGGCCGCAGGUUCGAAUCCUGCCGUGGGCG
rnacentral:tRNA from 1 species